ACUAAUUUGACAGAAAAUUGUAAUGGUUUUAGAAAUCAUUUAUAUAUAAUAAUUAAUUAUAUAUUUAGUA
rnacentral:tRNA from 1 species